rnacentral:rRNA from 1 species
GACGAACGCUGGCGGCGUGCUUAACACAUGCAAGUCGAACGGAAAGGCCCCUUUGGGGGUACUCGAGUGGCGAACGGGUGAGUAACACGUGAGUAACCUGCCCUUGACUUCGGGAUAACUUCAGGAAACUGGGGCUAAUACCGGAUAGGAAUCCUUGCUGCAUGGUGGGGGUUGGAAAGCUUCGGCGGUUUUGGAUGGACUCGCGGCUUAUCAGCUUGUUGGUGGGGUAGUGGCUUACCAAGGCUUUGACGGGUAGCCGGCCUGAGAGGGCGACCGGCCACAUUGGGACUGAGAUACGGCCCAGACUCCUACGGGAGGCAGCAGUGGGGAAUAUUGCACAAUGGGCGGAAGCCUGAUGCAGCAACGCCGCGUACGGGAUGACGGCCUUCGGGUUGUAAACCGCUUUCAGCAGGGGCGAAGCUUGUGGUGACGGUACCUGCAGAAGAAGCACCGGCUAACUACGUG